rnacentral:lncRNA from 1 species
GGCAAUGACAUCAGAUUACCCCUGGCUACAGCUGGCCUCACUGGCAGCACCCGUGGGACCAAGCGGAUACGUGUGGAGCCUGUGCACCCCUCUCCAGCCGCCUCCUGCAGGUGCAUCCCGCGCUUCCUUCAGAACUCAGGCAUAAGUAGAUAAAGCACAAGAAAAUUACCUGAGCUUUGAAACUGCAAACAGAAGCCACCAUUUCAGAGCAUCCCCUUCUGCACCCAGCACUUCCUUCAUCAGCUGCACCUCCCUCACUGAUGUGGGCGAGCACCCUGAGCCUUUCAACACCCUGCAUGAAAAAUCCAUUACUUCACUAAGUCAUAUUUGCCAAGGCAAGGAAGAGUUGGCCCAAAAUAUUUCCUCCUGAGAGAGGACUUGUCCCACCCACAUCAGAUGUAAGACACCCAUCUCAUUCUGUUUUGUUCCUUUCAAAGGAUUUGCUAUUAUUUGUAACUAUGUUUUAGAUAAAGGUAUUUAUUCUUCUUUCCCCCCAGUGCGAGGACAGGGAAAGUGUGAUCUGGACCCUGGUGUCACCAGCCCGGUGUCUGGAGCACACGAGAUAAUAAAUGUUGAAAUCAUGAGUGAACAAAUACAAUGUAUAAAAUUUCAGUAAAUACUGUUUAUUUUUUAAAUUUUGCCAUAAUCUAUACAAUAAAUAUUAACCAAUGAUGGAUCUUUUCUUUACAGAAGGUUACCAAACCAGUUUGCAUUUGUUGACUUCGUUAGUGGAGGCUCCUCCAUAACGAGCUCGUUAAUUUUAGGCCACCUUGCGUGGCUUUGGUUGACACUCAGUGUGUGACAGCUAAUGUGAUGCUCCCUGAAAAGUAUAUCGCAGAGUCUCGCAGAAUUACGAGGAAGGCAACGGAGCUCCGCAGCCCUGCGUUUAACCUUUAUUUAUUUAUCCAUCAUAAAAUGUGGGGCUUCUCCAGUUCCAGACAAUAUCUGAAAACUAGAGUAACAAAGAUUAAGGGGACACACACAGCCUCUAUGCAGACACGCUGACAUACGGAGCUCAGCCCUCUAUGCAGACACACUGAAAUAUGAAGACACCCACAGGCCUCUAUGCAGACACGCUGACAUACGGAGCUCGGCCCUCUAUGCAGACACACUGAAAUAUGAAGACACCCACAGGCCUCUAUGCAGACACGCUGAAAUAUAGAAACACACACAGCUCUCCAUGCGGACAUGCUGAAAUACAGAGCACAGCCCUCUAUGCAGACACACUGAAAUAUAGUCAUUGGCAACUAAAAUACAGUGUGAACACAUCCAACAAAAUGGGCGCACAGGGAGUUAUGACAGGAACUUAUGACAGCAAACGGCACAUGGACCCACAGGUCUGAUGAUCUCUGGCCAUCCCAAAGGUUGGGCCACUCCCUACCAUAUGCACCUCUGCUGAAGCAAGUUGAGAACUGACUCGCCGGGAGGGAGUCGCUGGCCAACGUGAGGCCAGCCUUGUGCACAGAGCGCGCAUGGAAAUGGUGCGGGUUCGCCGUCUCGGGAGUUGGAUACGACUGCCAUCUUUUUAUAAAUGAGAAUUGCAGGAUCAUCGACCAUUGUGUACUCACACAUUUAAAGAUGUGUAAGUCUUAAAUAACCCUUUGGGAAUAUUAAGGAGCUGUCACAGGGGUUCUCAAUUUUGGAUGUGCAUAAAAACACUUCUGUAGUGAUUUUAAAUGAAAGUGCCUGGUCUCAACUAACACCUGCUGAACCAGAAUUGCCACGGUUUGGGUUUGAGAAUCUGUUUUUUUGUUUUUGCUUUUAUAAGUUUCAGAAGCAAAAGUGAGGGUCGCUGGUUUGCAGGUGAUUGAAGGGUUUGGCCACCUGUGGGCCAUGAUGUCAUUGUUGUUGGUGGUGGUAAUGGUGAGGUUGGGGCUGUGAUGUCGUUGUCAUUGGUGGUAGUGAUGGUGAGGUCAGGGCUGUGAUGUCAUUGUCAUUGGUGGUGAUGGUGAGGUCGGGGCUGUGAUGUCGUUGUCAUUGGUGGUGAUGGUGAGGUCGGGGCUGUGAUGUCAUUGUCAUUGGUGGUGGUGAUGGUGAGGUCGGGGCUGUGAUGUCGUUGUCGGUGGUGGUGGUGAUGGUGAGGUCACUGUAGGAAAGCCCAGCAGAAUGGCCCUGAAGCGUGGGCUCCGUCCCCGAUAUGCCUUCCCAUGAUCUCUUUUCCUAAGGAAAAAUCCGAAUAAAUGAAGGGUGAAGGCAGCCUUGAAAAUGAAGCAAAUUAUAAAGGUAAACUAUAGGCGAAAACUUCAGGGGAGUCUAAACGUUUUAUCUCGAUGAUUAAUGGGUGCCUUGGGUAGCAUUCUCUACAUGUCUUAGGGCAUCAGGAAACAGAACUGCCCUAUUUUUUCUCAGAGAUUUAUUCAUUCAAUGAACAUAUAUUAAGUACCAAGUAUUUCCAGGUCUUAUUCCAGUGAUUGGAAUUCAAUAAUACACUUACUGACAAAUUCCCCUGUGUCUGUAGAACUUACAAUCUGAUGGGUAAUAAAACAGGUCAGUAACAAUAAAAAUUGCAAUAAAUAAGUGGAGUAGGAAUUAAAUGAUAAAAGGUACUAUGUAUGUAAGAAUAAGGGAUCCUGGACACAGUUGUGAGCAAGGCUGCGAGGCUAAGUGUGCAGUCAGGGUGGGCAUCCCUGUGGAGGUGACGUCUGAGCCUCCAUUACACUCAGAUGUGGACAUGAGCUGCCUCGGAAAGGAACAUUCCAGAGAAAGGCACAGCUAGGGUAAGGCUCUGACCUGUGUCCUGCAUGCUCAGUGAAGCUGUUUGGUUCAAGUGGAAUGAAAAUAAGGAGAAUAAAAUUUUUUUUAAGUAUCAGAAUUUGCUCAGAUGCCAUCUCUACAGGUCAUGACCCAGCUCUGGGAGAGCCUUGGCAAUCUGCUUUAACUAGGGAAAUGCUGCAGGGUUUGAGUAGAGAAGGGGUCUGGCCUGACACAGCAGAUAUCUGGCCAGUGUUGAGAAGGGAGUCUGCACAUUCG